AUUGAACGCUGGCGGCAGGCUUAACACAUGCAAGUCGAGCGGAGUGAUGGUGCUUGCACUAUCACUUAGCGGCGGACGGGUGAGUAAUGCUUAGGAAUCUGCCUAUUAGUGGGGGACAACAUCUCGAAAGGGAUGCUAAUACCGCAUACGUCCUACGGGAGAAAGCAGGGGAUCACUUGUGACCUUGCGCUAAUAGAUGAGCCUAAGUCGGAUUAGCUAGUUGGUGGGGUAAAGGCCUACCAAGGCGACGAUCUGUAGCGGGUCUGAGAGGAUGAGCCGCCACACUGGGACUGCGACACGGCCCAGACUCCUACGGGAGGCAGCAGUGGGGAAUAUUGGACAAUGGGGGGAACCCUGAUCCAGCCAUGCCGCGUGUGUGAAGAAGGCCUUAUGGUUGUAAAGCACUUUAAGCGAGGAGGAGGCUCUUUUGGUUAAUACCCAAGAUGAGUGGACGUUACUCGCAGAAUAAGCACCGGCUAACUCUGUGCCAGCCGCCGCGGUAACAC
rnacentral:rRNA from 1 species